GACCCGUCUUGAAACACGGACCAAGGAGUUUAUCGUGUGUGCGAGUCAUUGGGCGUUAAAAACCCAAAGGCGCAAUGAAAGUGGAUGCCUCCGCAAGGACCUGACGUGCAAUCCCGGGUACUCCGGUGCCUGGGCGCAGCAUGGCCCCAUCCUGACUGCUUGCAGUGGGGUGGCGGAAGAGCAUACGCGGUGAGACCCGAAAGAUGGUGAACUAU
rnacentral:rRNA from 1 species